rnacentral:rRNA from 1 species
ACGCUGGCGGCAGGCUUAACACAUGCAAGUCGAACGGUAGCAGGAGAAAGCUUGCUUUCUUGCUGACGAGUGGCGGACGGGUGAGUAAUGCUUGGGAAUCUGGCUUAUGGAGGGGGAUAACGACGGGAAACUGUCGCUAAUACCGCGUAGAGUCGAGAGACGAAAGUGCGGGACCGCAAGGCCGCAUGCCAUAGGAUGAGCCCAAGUGGGAUUAGGUAGUUGGUGGGGUAAUAGCCUACCAAGCCGACGAUCUCUAGCUGGUCUGAGAGGAUGACCAGCCACACCGGGACUGAGACACGGCCCGGACUCCUACGGGAGGCAGCAGUGGGGAAUAUUGCGCAAUGGGGGCAACCCUGACGCAGCCAUGCCGCGUGAAUGAAGAAGGCCUUCGGGUUGUAAAGUUCUUUCGGUAUUGAGGAAGGUUGUUGUGUUAAUAGCACGACAAAUUGACGUUAAAUACAGAAGAAGCACCGGCUAACUCCGUGCCAGCAGCCGCGGUAAUACGGAGGGUGCGAGCGUUAAUCGGAAUAACUGGGCGUAAAGGGCACGCAGGCGGACUUUUAAGUGAGGUGUGAAAUCCCCGGGCUUAACCUGGGAAUUGCAUUUCAGACUGGGAGUCUAGAGUACUUUAGGGAGGGGUAGAAUUCCACGUGUAGCGGUGAAAUGCGUAGAGAUGUGGAGGAAUACCGAAGGCGAAGGCAGCCCCUUGGGAAUGUACUGACGCUCAUGUGCGAAAGCGUGGGGAGCAAACAGGAUUAGAUACCCUGGUAGUCCACGCUGUAAACGCUGUCGAUUUGGGGAUUGGGCUUUAAGCUUGGUGCCCGAAGCUAACGUGAUAAAUCGACCGCCUGGGGAGUACGGCCGCAAGGUUAAAACUCAAAUGAAUUGACGGGGGCCCGCACAAGCGGUGGAGCAU